UGAGUGCUUGUAAUUUUCCAAAAGUUGGAUAUUAGCACAAUAUUAGACUUCAGAGAGUCUUAUUCUUGUCUUUUAGUUACUAUUUGUCAUAUUGUAAUUCAUUAUUUCAGUCCAAAGCAAUAUUGUAGGAUUGUGGCUAGAAUAUGCUUUUUUGGAGAAUGAAUGUAGAUUACCAGAAGGAGGUGGAAAUCUAUGUAACUGUUAAGUUCUAUUAGUCAUGAUAAAGACCAUUGAUUUUGUGAGAAAUUGGCUAAAGCUGUCAAGAUCCAUGUCAGAAGUUUGCAAAAAUAUCCAGUGGUUCAUCAUUUUUGCUGUGUUUCAUGAUGAUUUUAAGGACAAGACUUUUCAAGGAGGAGGAAAAGAUUAAGGAGUUAUCUGAGAAUUAGGUAACAACAUCUGGUUACUAAUUUUGACUCAAACCAAUUCUGGGUCAUAUAUAAUUUGUGAUAAAAUAUGGUGGUGCUGGAUAUUUAGUCCCUUUUUGACAAAGAAAAUCCUUUUUGAUUAUAGGUAUAAAAAUUGUCCAAGCGUGUACCAUCCCCUGUUCAUAUUCUUAAGCCCAGCCUGUUAAUGAGUUGGUUCUAUCUACUGAGAAGCAGAACUGGUGGCCAUACCACGACGCAAUGUUCUGGUAGCCACACAGAGCCCUGCAACGUCACGCUCACAUCUCCUACGCUGCCUGGAGAGGUCUCAGGCUUGGACUGGAUCUAUACCACUGGCUUUCCUGAGCCUGCAGCCUCCAAAUGGCAGGCAAGUCAUGGGGCUUCUCAGCUUCCAUAAUCAUGUGAGCCAAACCCUUGUAAUAAAUUUCCUUUUGCAUAUCUA